rnacentral:rRNA from 1 species
CAGUCGCCGCGGUAAUACGGAGGGGGCUAGCGUUGUUCGGAAUUACUGGGCGUAAAGCGCACGUAGGCGGCUUGGUAAGUUAGAGGUGAAAGCCCGGAGCUCAACUCCGGAAUUGCCUUUAAGACUGCCGAGCUAGUAGGUGAGAGAGGUAAGUGGAAUUCCGAGUGUAGAGGUGAAAUUCGUAGAUAUUCGGAAGAACACCAGUGGCGAAGGCGGCUUACUGGCUCAUUCUAGACGCUGAGGUGCGAAAGCGUGGGGAGCAAACAGGAUUAGAGACCCGCGUAGUCCCUGUCUCUUAUAC